rnacentral:rRNA from 1 species
UGGCCUCGGCCCGAGUUGUAAUUUGCAGAGGAUGCUUCUGGCGCGGUGCCUUCCGAGUUCCCUGGAACGGGACGCCACAGAGGGUGAGAGCCCCGUAUGGUCGGACACCAAGCCUGUGUGAAGCUCCUUCGACGAGUCGAGUAGUUUGGGAAUGCUGCUCUAAAUGGGAGGUAAAUCUCUUCUAAAGCUAAAUACCGGCCAGAGACCGAUAGCGCACAAGUAGAGUGAUCGAAAGAUGAAAAGCACCUUGAAAAGGGGGUUAAAUAGUACGUGAAAUUGUUGAAAGGGAAGCACUUGUGACCAGACUUGGGCCGGGCGGCUCAUCAGGGGUUCUCCCCUGUGCACUCCGCCCGGCACAGGCCAGCAUCGGUUCUCGUGGGGGGAUAAGACCGUCAGGAACGUAGCACCCUCCGGGGUGUGUUAUAGCCUGGCGGACGAUACCCCCGUGGGGACCGAGGUUCGCGCUCCGCAAGGAUGCUGGCGUAAUGGUCACCAGUGACCCGUCUUGAAACACGGACCAAGGAGUCGUCCAUUAGAGCGAGCGUUUGGGUGUAAAACCCGCACGCGUAAUGAAAGUGAACGCAGGUGAGAGCUUCGGCGCAUCAUCGACCGAUCCUGAUGUUCUCGGAAGGAUUUGAGUAAGAGUUUUAACGGACGGACCCGAAAGACAGUGAACUAUGCUUGUAUAGGGUGAAGCCAGAGGAAACUCUGGUGGAGGCUCGCAGCGGUUCUGACGUGCAAAUCGAUCGUCAAAUAUGAGCAUGGGGGCGAAAGACUAAUCGAACUGUCUAGUAGCUGGUUACCGCCGAAGUUUCCCUCAGGAUAGCAGUGUUGAUCUUCAGUUUUAUGAGGUAAAGCGAAUGAUUAGGGACUCGGGGGCGCUAUAUAGCCUUCAUCCAUUCUCAAACUUUAAAUAUGUAAGAAGCCCUUGUUACUUAGUUGAACGUGGGCAUUCGAAUGUACCAACACUAGUGGGCCAUUUUUGGUAAGCAGAACUGGCGAUGCGGGAUGAACCGAACGCGGGGUUAAGGCGCCAGAGUGUACGCUCAUCAGACACCACAAAAGGCGUUAGUACAUCUUGACAGCAGGACGGUGGCCAUGGAAGUCGGAAUCCGCUAAGGACUGUGUAACAACUCACCUGCCGAAUGUACUAGCCCUGAAAAUGGAUGGCGCUCAAGCGUACCGCCCAUACCCCGCCCCCAGGGUAGAAACGAUGCCCUGGGGAGUAGGCGGCCGUGGGGG